rnacentral:rRNA from 1 species
ACGGGUGAGUAACGCGUGGGCAACCUGCCUUCUACAGGGGGAUAACACAGGGAAACUUGUGCUAAUACCGCAUAACACUAUUAAGUGGCAUCACUUGAUAAUCAAAGGAGCAAUCCGGUAGAAGAUGGGCCCGCGUCCAAUUAGCUAGUUGGUGGUGUAACGGACCACCGAGGCGACGAUUGGUAGCCGAACUGAGAGGUUGAUCGGCCACAUUGGGACUGAGACACGGCCCAGACUCCUACGGGAGGCAGCAGUGGGGAAUAUUGCGCAAUGGGGGAAACCCUGACGCAGCAACGCCGCGUGAAGGAUGAAGGUUUUCGGAUUGUAAACUUCUUUGAUGAGGGACGAAAAAUGACGGUACCUCAAAAACAAGCCACGGCUAACUACGUGCCAGCAGCCGCGGUAAUACGUAGGUGGCGAGCGUUGUCCGGAAUUACUGGGUGUAAAGGGCGUGUAGGCGGGGAUGUAAGUCAGAUGUGAAAUGCCGAAGCUUAACUUCGGAGCUGCAUCUGAAACUGUGUCUCUUGAGUGCCGGAGAGGAAAGCGGAAUUCCCAGU